GUCCCUUUGGGGAUAUCCGAUAAAUUUGGGAUGAUACAGAGAGAAGAUUAGCAUGGUCCAUGCGUAAGAAUGACACGCACAAAUCGAGAAAUGAUUCAAAUUUUA